ACAAGAGCAGCCAGAAUGCUCUGAAAUGGGCUCUUGAGAACCUUGUCUCCAGGGGCCAGACCAUCACCCUUGUCCACGUCAACACUCAAGGACAACAAACCGAGGCUUCUGCGAACAACAUGUUCCUCCCCUUCCGUUGCUUCUGCACUAGAAAGGAUGUAAAGUGCAAAGACGUCAUCCUGAAUGAUAGCGAGGUGGCCAAGGCAGUCGUUGAUUUCGUUUCUGAAUCCACCAUAGACAAGCUGGUCA